UUCAGUCACAAAACAGCAAGCCUCAUGCUAAGUAGAUCAUAACACCAUUUGAAGCUAAGCAGAGUUGAGCCUGGCCAGUACCUGGAUGGGAGACAUCCUGGGGAAAACUGGUUGCUGCUGGAA
rnacentral:rRNA from 1 species